rnacentral:rRNA from 1 species
UUGGUAGAUGACUGCUAGUGUUAGAGGGUUUCCGCCCUUUAGUGCUGCAGCUAACGCAUUAAGCACUCCGCCUGGGGAGUACGGCCGCAAGGCUGAAACUCAAAUGGAAUUGACGGGGGCCCGCACAAGCGGUGGAGCAUGUGGUUUAAUUCGAAGCAACGCGAAGAACCUUACCAGGUCUUGACAUCUCCUGACAACCCUAGAGAUAGGGCGUUCCCCUUCGGAGGACAGGAUGACAGGUGGUGCAUGGGUGUCCUCAUCUCGUGUCGAGAUAUGGUGUUUUAUCCCCCAACGAGAGCGCACCUUUUGAUUAUUUGUCACAGCUUUCAUUUGGGAACUCUAGGGAGACUGCCGGUGACAAACCGGAAGAAUGUGGAUAUGACGUCAAAUCAUCAGGCCCUUUAAGACGUGGGCUACACACGUGCUACUAGUGGAGGGUACAAAGGUUGGCUACACCGCGAGGGUAAGUCAAAUCCCAAAAACCAUUCUUAUUUCGGAUUGGCAGUCUGCAACUGACUCUUGAAGUCGAACUCGCUUGUAAUCCGGUAUCACAAUGCCGCGGUGAAUAUUUCCCGGGCCUUGUACACCCCGCCCUCCCCCAGGAAGUUUGUACCCCCAGUUGGUGGGUAACUUUUUGAAGCCGCGCUAAGGUGGACCAAUAUGGGGGAAUCUCACGGGUGACAAAA